CAGCAGCCGCGGUAAUACGUAGGUGGCAAGCGUUGUCCGGAAUUAUUGGGCGUAAAGGGCUCGCAGGCGGUUUCUUAAGUCUGAUGUGAAAGCCCCCGGCUCAACCGGGGAGGGUCAUUGGAAACUGGGAAACUUGAGUGCAGAAGAGGAGAGUGGAAUUCCACGUGUAGCGGUGAAAUGCGUAGAGAUGUGGAGAAACACCAGUGGCGAAGGCGACUCUCUGGUCUGUAACUGACGCUGAGGAGCGAAAGCGUGGGGAGCGAACAGGAUUAGAUACCCCUGUAGUCCCUGUCUCUUAUAC
rnacentral:rRNA from 1 species